rnacentral:rRNA from 1 species
GACGGAGGGUGCAAGCGUUGUUCGGAAUUACUGGGCGUAAAGAGCUCGUAGGUGGUUUGUCGCGUUGUUCGUGAAAACUCACAGCUCAACUGUGGGCGUGCGGGCGAUACGGGCAGACUGGAGUACUGCAGGGGAGACUGGAAUUCCAGGUGUAGCGGUGAAAUGCGUAGAUAUCUGGAGGAACACCGGUGGCGAAGGCGGCAUCCUGGACCGACACUGACACUGAGGAGCGAAAGCCAGGGGAGCAAACGGG